GUGUUUGCUUCAGCAGCACAUAUACUAAAACUGGAACAAUACAGAGAAGAUUAGCCUGGCCCCUGUUGCAAGGAUGACACGCAAAAUCAUGAAGCAUUUCAUAUUUUU
rnacentral:snRNA from 1 species